rnacentral:lncRNA from 1 species
UCCACAGGACCUAACAGCACCCACAGCACAUGGUAAGUGCUUUGCUUAUUGAGUGAAUUCACAGAGUAAGGUCAGUCAGUCCAUUAUUUAUUCAAGGAUUAUUGGAAAGUUGAAAAAAGCAUGGCUUGACUAAUGACAGAAUAAAAUUUAAUAGGACUCGUAUACAGUUCUGGUAAAAUAAGAUAAAGUUUUCAGCCACUACUAAAAGAUUACACAGACAUCCCCCAUUAUUAUGUUUGUUUCUCUCUUGAAAGUCUGCCUUCUGGCA